UUACAUCUGUUGGUAAAAUGUGUGUAUUUCCACAGAGGAAAUGUAUCUUUCAAUGACAUUAAAUACAGGUAAUGUUUACUUCUCAAAAAUAAUGGAUAAGGAUAGUGACACACAAAACACUUGGAAGCAAAGAAUUCAACCAAACAAUACCAUAUUCAAUCAAGAGAAUACUCAUAAUGUAGAGAUACAAAGAAAUUUCAAGUCUAAGUUUCAGGAAACUUCCUACCCAAAUGCCUCAAGAAACAUACUGCAAAUCACAAAAAGCUGACAGAAAGAAUGCUUCUAGUAUAACGUAGAAACAACUGCCAAGUAACUCCCUAGCUCAAAUUUUCUACAAAAAUCCAAUGUUAUAGUGCUGUUAUGUUGAAUGGAAAGGGACAUACAUAGAUAGUAAGAAAUAUGGUGAAAUGC
rnacentral:lncRNA from 1 species